UGGAAUUCUACCCCCCUCUACCGUACUCUAGCCUGCCAGUAUGAGAUGCAGUUCCAAGGUUGAGCCCUGGGCUUUCACAUCUCACUUAACAAACCGCCUACGCGCGCUUUACGCCCAGUAAUUCCGAUUAACGCUUGCACCCUCCGUACUACCGCGGCUGCUGGCACGGAGUUAGCCGGUGCUGCUUCUGUAGGUAACGUCAAUCCCAGCAGGUAUUAACUACUGGGCCUUCCUCCUUACUGAAAGUGCUUUACAACCCUAAGGCCUUCUUCACACACGCGGCAUGGCUGGAUCAGGGUUGCC
rnacentral:rRNA from 1 species